UCCCCUCUCCUUCACAGGCCGGAAGUUGUUUCUUAGGAACCCCUGGGGUCCUGCAGGGCCCGGCGGCCCUGUGCAGUCAUCCGAGAGGGGCUGCCUGCAGACGACCUGCUUGCUAGCUUCGGAGCACAACGUGAAGCAACGCUAUGCUCUAGACCUCUCCCCUCCACACAAGGACAUUGACGCCUGAGGUGACCUUGAGGCAUGCUAAAGUUCGAGAAAUGCUGUUGUACAGAAGAAACUGGCUGUUGGAUACUCAGAAAAAUUGUGUUUUAUCAUUGUUGUUGUUAUGAAUUACUGCCUGGAGUACAAAAUAGACAGUCCCUACUUGAAGAGAUGAACGGUCUUGUUAACAGGAAGAUCAAAGCAUCGCAUGUGAAAUGACCGCAGAAGAGAAGUAGAAAUUGCCAGCUUCCAUGCAUUUGGGUGAGGCCGCAUGACUAAGGCCGAC